AAAGGGUAUUUAUACCUUUUACCUAAAGAGGGGUUUAUGUCCUAUCAGCUUGUUGGUGGGGUAACGGCCUACCAAGGCGAAGACGGGUAACCGGCCUUAGAGGGUAGUCGGUCACACUGGAACUGAGACACUGUCCAGACUUCUACGGAAGGCUGCAGUCGAGAAUCUUUCGCAAUGCCCGAAAGGGUGACGAAGCGACGCCGCGUGGAUGAAGAAGGCCUUCGGGUUGUAAAAUCCUGUCAGGAGUUAAGAAAUGUAGGUGCGAUAAUACCGUGCUUAUUUGACAAAGGCUCCAAAGGAAGCCACGGCUAACUCUGUGCCAGCAGCCGCGGUAAUACAGAGGUGGCAAGCGUUGUUCGGAAUUAUUGGGCGUAAAGAGCACGUAGGUGGAUUUGUUAGUCAGAUGUGAAAGCCUUUCGUUCAACGGAAGAAUUGCAUCUGAAACUACAAACCUUGAGUAUAGGAGGGGAGAGUGGAACUUCUGGUGGAGCGGUGAAAUGCGUAGAUAUCAGAAGGAACGCCGGCGGCGAAAGCGACUCUCUGGCCUAUAACUGACACUGAGUGUGCGAAAGCUAGGGGAGCAAACGGGAUUAGAUACCCCGGUAGUCCUAGCCGUAAACGAUGGGCACUAAGUAGGGGGAACUACCGAUGUUCUCUCUGCCGUAGCAAACGCGUUAAGUUGACCGCCUGGGGAGUACGGCCGCAAGGUUGAAACUCAAAGGAAUUGACGGGGGCCCGCACAAGCGGUGGAGCAUGUGGUUUAAUUCGAUGCAACGCGAAGAACCUUACCAGCCCUUGACAUCCUGGGAACUUACUAGAGAUAGUUUGGUGCCUUCGGGAAUCCAGUGACAGGUGCUGCAUGGCUGUCGUCAGCUCGUGUCGUGAGAUGUUGGGUUAAGUCCCGCAACGAGCGCAACCCUUAUCCUUAGUUGCCAGCACAUUAUGGUGGGAACUCUAAGGAGACUGCCGGUGAUAAACCGGAGGAAGGUGGGGAUGACGUCAAGUCAUCAUGGCCCUUAUGGGCUGGGCUACACACGUGCUACAAUGGUCGGUACAGAGGGCCGCAAUCCCGCGAGGGGGAGCCAAUCCCAGAAAGCCGAUCUUAGUCCGGAUCGCAGUCUGCAACUCGACUGCGUGAAGUCGGAAUCGCUAGUAAUCGCGAAUCAGCAAUGUCGCGGUGAAUACGUUCCCGGGCCUUGU
rnacentral:rRNA from 1 species